rnacentral:rRNA from 1 species
CCUACGGGUGGCAGCAGUGAGGAAUAUUGGUCAAUGGUCGGGAGACUGAACCAGCCAAGCCGCGUGAGGGAGGAAGGUACAGAGUAUCGUAAACCUCUUUUGUCAGGGAACAAAGGCGUGGACGUGUCCCCGGAUGAGUGUACCUGAAGAAAAAGCAUCGGCUAACUCCGUGCCAGCAGCCGCGGUAAUACGGAGGAUGCGAGCGUUAUCCGGAUUGAUGGGGUUUAAAGGGUGCACAGGCGGUCUGUUAAGUCAGCGGUAAAAGCCCGGGGCUCAACCCCGGCCCGCCGUUGAAACUGGCAGUCUCGAGUUGGAGAGAAGUAUGCGGAAUGCGCGGUGUAGCGGUGAAAUGCAUAGAUAUCGCGCAGAACUCCGAUUGCGAAGGCAGCAUGCCGGCUCCACACUGACGCUGAGACACGAAAGCGUGGGUAUCGAACAGGAUUAGAUACCCCUGUAGUC